rnacentral:rRNA from 1 species
GACGAACGCUGGCGGCGUGCCUAAUACAUGCAAGUAGAACGCACAGUUUAUACCGUAGCUUGCUACACCAUAGACUGUGAGUUGCGAACGGGUGAGUAACGCGUAGGUAACCUGCCUGGUAGCGGGGGAUAACUAUUGGAAACGAUAGCUAAUACCGCAUAAUAUUGAUUAUUGCAUGAUAAUUGAUUGAAAGAUGCUAUUGCAUCACUACCAGAUGGACCUGCGUUGUAUUAGCUAGUAGGUGGGGUAACGGCUCACCUAGGCGACGAUACAUAGCCGACCUGAGAGGGUGAUCGGCCACACUGGGACUGAGACACGGCCCAGAAUCCUACGGGAGGGAGCAGUAGGGAAUCUUCGGCAAUGGAAGAAAGUCUGACCGAGCAACGCCGCGUGAGUGAAGAAGGUUUUCGGAUCGUAAAGCUCUGUUGUAAGAGAAGAACGGGUGUGAGAGUGGAAAGUUCACACUGUGACGGUAUCUUACCAGAAAGGGACGGCUAACUACGUG